GACGAACGCUGGCGGCGUGCUUAACACAUGCAAGUCGAACGAAAAUACCAAGCUUGCUUGGUUGAUUAGUGGCGAACGGGUGAGUAACACGUGAGUAACCUGCCCCUUACUUUCCUGGAUAACUGCUCGAACGGGUAGCUAAUACGGGAUAUUCUGACCAGCCUGCAUGGGUUGGUUUGGAAAGGUUGUUUUUCUGGUAAGGGAUGGGCUCGCGGCCUAUCAGCUUGUUGGUGGGGUGAUGGCCUACCAAGGCUUUGACGGGUAGCCGGCCUGAGAGGGUGGACGGUCACACUGGGACUGAGGUACGGCCCAGACUCCUACGGGAGGCAGCAGUGGGGAAUAUUGCACAAUGGGCGCAAGCCUGAUGCAGCGACGCCGCGUGAGAGAGGAAGGCCUUCGGGUUGUAAACCUCUUUCGUCAGGGAACAAGGCACUGCUUUUGUGGUGGUGUUGAGGGUACCUGGAUAAGAAGCGCCGGCUAACUACGUG
rnacentral:rRNA from 1 species